rnacentral:rRNA from 1 species
GAUGAACGCUAGCUACAGGCUUAACACAUGCAAGUCGAGGGACCGGCGCACGGGUGAGUAACACGUAUCCAACCUGCCCUUUACUCGGGGAUAGCUUUUCGAAAGAAAGAUUAAUACCCGAUGUAAAGGAUGGGGAUGCGUUCCAUUUGGUUGUUGGUGAGGUAACGGCAAACCAAGCCUUCGAUGGCUAGGGGUUCUGAGAGGAAGGCCCCCCGCAUUGGAACUACGACACGGUCCAAACUCCUACGGGAGGCAGCAGUGAGGAAUAUUGGUCAAUGAGCGUUAGCCUGGACCAGCCAAGUAGCGGGAAGGAUGAAGGCUUAUGGAUCGUAAACUUCUUGUAUAUAAGAAGAUGUAUUAUAUGAAUAAGGAUCGGCUAACUCCGUGCCAGCAGCCGCGGUAAUAC